UGGGGAAUAUUGCACAAUGGGCGCAAGCCUGAUGCAGCAACGCCGCGUGAGUGAAGAAGGCCUUUGGGUCGUAAAGCUCUUUCGGCCGAGAAGAAGGGUGAUAUGGUGAACAAUCAUGUCAUUUGACUGUACCGGAAGAAGAAGCACCGGCUAACUACGUGCCAGCAGCCGCGGUAAUACGUAGGGUGCGAGCGUUGUUCGGAAUUACUGGGCGUAAAGGGCGCGUAGGCGGGUUUGCAAGUCGAUUGUGAAAUCCCAGGGCUUAACCCUGGAGCUGCAGUCGAAACUGCAAGUCUUGAAUGUCUGAGAGGGUGGGAGAAUUCCUGGUGUAGUAGUGAAAUACGUAGAUAUCAGGAGGAAUACCGGCGGCGAAGGCGCCUACCUGGCAGUACAUUGACGCUGAGGCGCGAAAGCGUGGGGAGCAAACAGG
rnacentral:rRNA from 1 species